UGUACCAGAGGACUGCUGUUUCAAAUUCAUUCUUCAUCACAUGCCAAAAAAGGCCUCCUGAAUUUAAUUUUUUUUAGGAAGAAAAGGAGUUAAGCGUCAGAAUGAAUUCAAAAACCCCAGUUGCUACCCUCUCUGGAUGAGCCCCUCGGGCUGUAACAGCCAUUGCCCCUAAACACCCCUCCGUGAUAUUUGUUGUCCUGCUCUAAACUUAGCUGUGACGGAACCACUCAUCACAACACGCAGUGGAGUACAAAAGAUUGGAUCGGGUUACCUCAGAUGCUGCUGCAUACAUCAGCCGGGACGCAGUGAAAACAACGAGAUGUAGUCCAGGCAGGUUUUUUCCCUCUGCUUGCCUUCAACUCUGAUACGAUGGGCAGCUAUAACUCGGCCCUCAUUCCUGACACAGAAGAGUUUGAUUCAAUUGUAUGGGAGGGCCUGACCGAGCAGAGAGGUCCUGCUGCGGAUGAGACGUUACAGUCAGAGCUUCGGUCACAUUUAUGAUUGAGAAGGAAAGAAGAGAAAACCAAACCGAAGCAAUGAACUCUUCAACACAUCCAGAAAGCACUCAGGGAGCGAGUAAGAACUGUUCCUUCCUUCAGGCUACAGACAAGAACAUGUCAAACGAGUCCUUCUCCUCCCUGCUACCAAAGGCGCUCUCUGCUGUUCUGCAUCCAGCAGCGCCCCCAGCCCUCAACUCAGACCCCCAACCACGGAGCUCGGAGAAAAACACCAAACCAGACGUGGAACAGCUGCAGAGCGAGCUGAGAGACCUGAGGGACCAGUUUGAACAGAUGAAGAGUCAGCACAACAAGGAAAUUAAACUGCUGAUGAAUGAGCUUGAUGAGGAGAAGAGGAUUCGCCUAACUUUACAGAUGGAAAUCCAGCGAAUGAAGAAGCACAUGUCGAAAUGAUCUAUCAAGGGCUGUUUUGCGAACAUUUUUUUUGUUUUUUUGAAGAAACUUAAUAAAAACUCUUUUCAUGUCGCUUAAGUGGUGGAAAAAGGAGCAGACUGUUAAAAGUAUCCAUGAGGUGGUUCAUUGAUUCAGUUUGCUGUUGGAAUGUUGAAUGAGUUUACAAAGAAACGCCUACAACACCAACUGAGUUGCUGAAAUGUUUCGAUUCAAUCCCGAGAGUCUGCACGGGGGUCCAAUCAGGGCAUCUUUAGUGGGUCAGUAUCAGACUCCGUGACUGAAAUCAACUCCCAGAUUACCGCAUCGCUGCGCUUUGACCAGCCAGUAUUUUAAAUUCCAGCUCCGAUGUCUCGGCAUGGCUUGCAAAACUGUAUCAUAGUAUGUGCUCCAUUUACAAUAAUUUUCACUGUGAAAGAGACUGUUUUGGCUGCUGCAGCUUCCUGCAUGUCUGUACUAGGGUGGGCGUGCCAAAGUAAGACACGCUUCGAUGUCUGGGGGAGAUCUAGUUGAGGCACUAGUCAUUAAACCUCACAGCCUUCAAAGCAUAUGAGAACAGCCUUUUCCUCUGAUUUUGUCCACACAAGACUGAAUGACUCUGCAUUAGGCCGAUCAAAUGAUCAACCAGACAUAUUAAAAUAGAGAGUAAACGUGCUGCUAUUAGCCUAACAUUUUAGCAGUCUGGGAGCAAGGGGAGGUUUUAAUGAAGACAGCAGGUUUGUACGUCUUUAAUAACAGGUUUGAAUGCUAUGCAUGUUUUAAGUGACAGGCUGUCAGAGCACUGAAGAGGCCUUUUCAAGCCAGUUAACCCUGUUUCGUAGCUAGAUCCAGAGAUUGUUGUAACGGAAAUGUUAUACUUUGUUUUAUGUGCUGGAUGCAUAGAUUUAAACGCGUUAAGCUGCAGCAUUAUAAUUAACUUGCUUGGCAAUUUGUUUUAGGGUAGGAAUCAUUUCUCCUCUUUGUCUGUUGACAAAACAAGGCUGCAGUACAGGUCGGUGCUGCUAGGUACUGCUUUCAAGAAUAACCAGAAUCAACUUUAUUUGCCAGGUUUGGGGGUAUACAGACAAGGAACUUCACUUAUAUUCCAGCACAACAAAACAGACAGACAAGGAGAAGAGCAACUACAGUGUAUUACAAAACAGAACAACUUUUUAAAUGGGAUAUGUCAGAACAGGGGCAGUAAGGACAGUAAGAGUUUUUUUUUUUAAACAACUUAUCACAGCCCCCCUCCCCCUCUAUAAGAGAUGGAACAACACCUUUGUUAUCCUGACCAGACCCACUGACACGUUUUGUAAUGUCUUUGAUCUCCUUAUGCAUAUGUUUUAAUAAAAAUUAUGUUUGACUUUA